GCAUGCGCAGCUCCCGGGACUUGUUGCUUGGGCUUGUAACUUCGGGGCCGGGACGGUGGCUUCGGCGCCGCGCCCCGUGUGGUGACGAGACGAGACGGGAGAGGAGAGGCGAGGAGAGGCCGCCCCGGUGCAGCAUCCAGAAUAGUGCUGUCAUCAGAGACCUGUGCAUUCCUCUUACAGAGGCAUGAUAUCCCCAAAAUAGUGUCCCUGGACCUGGGUGAUGAGGACCUACAAUAUUUGCCUUCAAAGGAUAGAGUUUUGUGGGGGAAAACCAAAAUGAACCCUUUCUUUUUUCUGGGUUUUGGACAUUCUCAUCUAGUCUACUUCUGGAAUAGAAGUCUACCUUUCAACUCAACAAAUGAGACAUACUGCUACAGCACUGCCCAGGGCAGCACGGUGCUCCAAGGAGUAACUUUUGGUGGAAUCCCAACUGUCCUGCUGCUUGAUGUAACCUUCUUUUUUAUUUUAAUAUUACUGUUUUCCAUUAUAAGAAAGAGAUUCUGGGACUAUGGUCGUGUUGCUCUGGUGUCAGAAGCUGAAAGUGAAUCAAGAUACAACCGAUUGUCAACAUCUUCAUCAGUACCUGAAGAUCUUGAAUAUGAUAGGGGGUUUUGUUCUUGGAUGACAGCUGCUUUUCGAAUGCAUGAUGACGAGAUUCAUGAGAGAUGUGGUGAAGAUGCCAUACAUUACCUUGCCUUCCAGCGUCACAUCAUCUGUUUGUUGAUUGCUGUCAGCAUUUUGUCUGUGUGUGUCAUAUUGCCUGUCAACCUAUCAGGUGAUCUACUUGAUAAAGAUCCCUAUAGUUUUGGAAGAACAACUAUAGUAAACUUACAAACUGGUAAUAAUCUUCUUUGGCUGCACACCAUUUUUGCUGUUGUUUACCUGAUUCUAACUGUUGUCUUCAUGAGACAUCACAUGAAGUAUGUCACAUAUAAAGAAGAAAACAUAGUUAAGUGCACAUUGUUUAUAACUGGUCUUCCAAAAAAUGCAAAAGAAGAGACAAUACAAGGCCAUUUCACAACUGCCUACCCAACCUGCACUGUGCUGGAGGUCCAGCUGUGUUAUGACGUAGCCAAGCUUAUUCAUCUCUUCAAAAAAAGAAAACAGGCAGAAAAAAGCCUGACUUACUAUGAACACCUGCAUCAGAAGUAUGGCAAGCGGGUCCAAAUCAACCCUAAGCCAUGUGGUCAAUUCUGCUGUUGUGAAAUGAAAGGAUGUGAAAGGGAGGAUGCUGUAGAUUAUUAUACCAAAGUUAGAAAUGAACUGAUGGAAGAAUAUUCAAAAGAGGAACAAGCUGUUCAUAAUAACCCACUGGGAAUGGCUUUUGUAACAUUUCAAGAGAAAUCCAUGGCAACCUAUAUCCUUAAGGACUUCAAUGCCUGCAAAUGUCAGAGUAUUAAGUGUAAAGGAGAACCCCAGCCAUCGUCCUACAGUAGGGAGCUAUGCGUAUCAAACUGGGAGGUUACAUAUGCUCCUUAUCCUGAGAAUAUUUGUUGGAAAAAUCUUUCAGUGCGUGGACUGAAAUGGUGGUUUAGAUGGGCUUGCAUUAAUUUGCUUCUUUUUAUUGUACUGUUUUUUCUUACUACUCCUUCCAUAAUCAUCUCAACCAUGGACAAGUUCAAUGUCACUAAACCUAUUCACUACCUUAAUAAUCCCAUCAUCAGUCAGUUUUUCCCAACGCUCUUACUCUGGUCCUUCUCAGCUUUGCUACCAACAAUUGUAUAUUACUCAACUUUGCUGGAGUCCCACUGGACAAAAUCUGCAGAGAACAGAAUAAUGAUGCAUAAAGUCUACAUAUUUUUGAUCUUCAUGGUACUGAUUCUGCCCUCCCUUGGUCUGACCAGCCUUGAUUUUUUUUUCCGUUGGCUGUUUGACAGAGAAUCAUCUGAUUCUGCAGUUAGGCUGGAAUGUGUCUUUUUGCCUGACCAGGGAGCCUUCUUUGUGAACUACGUGAUUGCCUCUGCUUUUGUUGGCAAUGGGAUGGAGUUGCUGCGCCUGCCUGGGCUCAUCCUUUACACCAUACGCAUGAUAAUGGCCAGGUCCACAGCAGAAAGGAAAAAUAUUAAACAGCAACAAGCAUUUGAAUAUGAAUUUGGAGCAAUGUAUGCCUGGAUGUUGUGUGUGUUCACUGUCAUCAUGGCCUAUAGCAUUACGUGUCCCAUCAUUGUUCCAUUUGGUUUAAUAUACAUACUCCUGAAGCACAUGGUUGACCGUUAUAACCUUUACUAUGCAUAUCUCCCUGCCAAGCUAGAGAAGAAGAUGCACUUUGCAGCUGUGAAUCAGGCCCUUGCAGCUCCAAUUCUCUGCCUUUUUUGGCUCUAUUUUUUCUCAUUUUUGCGGCUAGGCUUUAAAGCACCUACAACCAUGUUUACCUUCCUAGUUGUCAACAUCACAAUUAUCAUUUGCUUGGCUUAUACUUGUUUUGGCUGUUUCAAGUACCUGAGCCCACUGGAUUAUAAGAUAGAAGACACGCAAGGUGAAAGAGGAAGCGACACAGAUGUACCACCCAUCCCAACAUCUUCUAUGUACGUCCCCCGAGUUUUGCAUCCUCAUUGUACAGAAAGGACGAUACUUGCCCAUAAGGAGCAACAAUCGUAUGGCACCAUGGACAACACUUGUUCACAGGCAGAAGGAAUCAUUAACUAUUCUGCUGGACCUGCAAUUACUGAGCAGGCACCGAGAGGUUCGCUUUGAAUGCCAGGGACUAACACAAGUGUCUUGCAGGACUGCCUCCAGCUUCCUGAGACCAGCACUCUGGUCAAAUGCUGAGUAGGAGACCUGCCCUGCUGCAAGAAGGACACUGCAGAGCUUUGAUAACCAUGAUGACAAGCCAUUCCUGUUAGUUGAAGGCUGCUGAACCUUGGUAAUGAAGCUCCUUGUGGCUGGCACAGGUUCAGUACAGAGCGAGCCAGCUCUGCUGUGAACUUGAAUAAACCCACCUCCAGUCAUGCUAACGUGCUUCAGAUACAGAAUAUGGAAAACCUACUAGGUAAUGGAAAGUUGCAUGUUGCUAAAUAGUCAUUGCUGGCAUUCGAGGAACCAGUUUGUGUGUCUGAUGGGGAAGCCACCUGCAUAUUUCACUUAUCAUGUAGCAGCCAUUCUUGUUCGCUACUGUACUCUGUUGCAGUUAAACUCAUAGAAAUGUCUAUGAUAUUAGGACAUGCACUAGUUUGAGUAAAGGCCAGGAUCACAUAGUAGUAAAUUAUCACAAGACCUCCAUGUACAGCAACACACAAAUUAAAGGCUGGUUUAUCAGCUUUGCUGUGUUGUGCUUGCUUCCUAGUAUCUUUUGGUUACCUCUCUGAGAGCCGGAAGUAAUUAGGAAACUGCACUGGCUGUAAUUUGUUCCUUCAUGCUGGUGGAUAUCUCUGAGAGGAUAAAAUUAGAUCAGCAGGAGAAACUCCUUGCAUUCCUUGCUGAGCCUUAGAGAAAAGCUGAGGGAUGGAAGCCUCCACAAAUGUGGAUAUUGGCUGCACUGUAUCUGAAAUUCAUAUUUAAAGCCAUUGCACAUUCUUUACUGUUCUUUUUAUAAAUCUUUUGGCAGGAAGCCUAAGCAAAUGGCCCAGCUGGAGUUACUGAUUGUAGCUCCCAGAAGCCAUAUUUGUUGAGAUCCAGCGCCUGCUGCUUGCCUUGCAUUGCUCAGUUGGAACAACUCCUCCCCCCCUCCUUGGUCCUUGCUAAGUCCUUACUUGCGUUCUAGCAGCCGCCACCAGCAGUGCUUCUGUGGAACAUGAAUCCUGGACAAGUCUGACAUUUGAGAAUGAAAAUCAAAUUCCCAGCUCUGCUUACCCACAGAUGCUAGUAGCACAACUGAAAGCUUUCUCAUGUAUGAUCUACAGCUAGUUCAUUUAUUAGUGUUUGGAAGCCUUUCACUUUUAUGCUUUUCAAGAAGGUGGGCUUGACCUACAAGCAGGAGGCCACAGAGUUGUGUUCCUGGCUCUUGGCAAAGGUGAGGUGAGAGGCACAGGAAGAUUUGGGGAGGAGGGGUCUUUUUCUGUCACUAACACAAACCCAUGUCCACUGAGUACAAAGAAAAGACACGCUUUAUUGUCUCUAAACUGCAAUAAUACAAGGAAAUACACACUUCUAAUUCCAAUUGAUGGCCAGGGUCAUAACUUUCAAAGAGGCCAUGUGUCUUGUCUUCUUAAACUGGUCUUGCAAAUUCCUUCUCUGUCCAAUCUAGGCAAGACUUCUUGAAUGAUUCUGCUUGUCACCUGUCUGUAACAGCUGCAAGUGCCUGUUUCAGAUAUUUCAGAGGUACAGUAGUUGUUCUUUCUUUCUGAGGACAGCUGUCUGACAGAUCAAAACAGAAAGGAAAUUACCAAAAGCAGAGACACUGAAGAUUGGGUCAUUAUAAUGGAACAUUCUUGCCUCUAAUUUUUUGGUUCUUGGGUUAACUCCUGACUCUUGCUUUGUAUCUGACAUCCUAUUGGUUAGGCCGUAGCAUCUCAGCUGUAGCAAG